UACGUAGGGUGCAAGCGUUGUCCGGAAUUAUUGGGCGUAAAGAGCUCGUAGGCGGUCUGUCGCGUCGGCUGUGAAAACCCGAGGCUCAACCUCGGGCCUGCAGUCGAUACGGGCAAACUAGAGUACUGCAGGGGAGACUGGAAUUCCUGGUGUAGCGGUGAAAUGCGCAGAUAUCAGGAGGAACACCGGUGGCGAAGGCGGGUCUCUGGGCCGAUACUGACGCUGAGGAGCGAAAGCGUGGGGAGCAAACAGG
rnacentral:rRNA from 1 species